rnacentral:rRNA from 1 species
UACGUAGGUGGCAAGCGUUGUCCGGAUUUAUUGGGUUUAAAGGGUGCGUAGGCGGUUUUAUAAGUCAGUGGUGAAAUACAAUAGCUUAACUAUUGAGGUGCCAUUGAUACUGUAAGACUUGAGUACAGACGAGGUAGGCGGAAUUGACGGUGUAGCGGUGAAAUGCUUAGAUAUCGUCAAGAACACCGAUAGCGAAGGCAGCUUACUAGACUGUAACUGACGCUGAGGCACGAAAGUGUGGGGAUCAAACAGG